GGGUUGUGAGGUUAAGCGACUAAGCGUACACGGUGGAUGCCCUGGCAGUCAGAGGCGAUGAAGGGCGUGCUAAUCUGCGAUAAGCGCCGGUAAGGUGAUAUGAACCGUUAUAACCGGCGAUACCCGAAUGGGGAAACCCAGUGUGAUUCGUCACACUAUCAUUAACUGAAUCCAUAGGUUAAUGAGGCGAACCGGGGGAACUGAAACAUCUAAGUACCCCGAGGAAAAGAAAUCAACCGAGAUUCCCCCAGUAGCGGCGAGCGAACGGGGAGGAGCCCAGAGCCUGAAUCAGCAUGUGUGUUAGUGGAAGCGUCUGGAAAGGCGCGCGAUACAGGGUGACAGCCCCGUACACAAAAGCGCAUGUGCUGUGAGCUCGAUGAGUAGGGCGGGACACGUGGUAUCCUGUCUGAAUAUGGGGGGACCAUCCUCCAAGGCUAAAUACUCCUGACUGACCGAUAGUGAACCAGUACCGUGAGGGAAAGGCGAAAAGAACCCCGGCGAGGGGAGUGAAAAAGAACCUGAAACCGUGUACGUACAAGCAGUGGGAGCCCCACCACUAAGCCAGUGGUGAACUCCACAUACGCAUCCUUUGCUGAGGAUACGGUUAACGGAGCGAAAGCGACGUUCAACCGCAAAAGAAGCAGAGGGGGCUUAGUGGUGGGGUGACUGCGUACCUUUUGUAUAAUGGGUCAGCGACUUAUAUUCUGUAGCAAGGUUAACCGAAUAGGGGAGCCGGAGGGAAACCGAGUCUUAAUUGGGCGUUAAGUUGCAGGGUAUAGACCCGAAACCCGGUGAUCUAGCCAUGGGCAGGUUGAAGGUUGGGUAACACUAACUGGAGGACCGAACCGACUAAUGUUGAAAAAUUAGCGGAUGACCUGUGGCUGGGGGUGAAAGGCCAAUCAAACCGGGAGAUAGCUGGUUCUCCCCGAAAGCUAUUUAGGUAGCGCCUCGUGAAUUCAUCUCCGGGGGUAGAGCACUGUUUCGGCUAGGGGGCCAUCCCGGCUUACCAACCCGAUGCAAACUGCGAAUACCGGAGAAUGUUAUCACGGGAGACACACGGCGGGUGCUAACGUCCGUCGUGAAGAGGGAAACAACCCAGACCGCCAGCUAAGGUCCCAAAGUCAUGGUUAAGUGGGAAACGAUGUGGGAAGGCCCAGACAGCCAGGAUGUUGGCUUAGAAGCAGCCAUCAUUUAAAGAAAGCGUAAUAGCUCACUGGUCGAGUCGGCCUGCGCGGAAGAUGUAACGGGGCUAAACCAUGCACCGAAGCUGCGGCAGCGAACGUAUCACUUAAAGCGAUUCAGCGGGUUACGAUUGACGGAGCGAAGCGACGUCAAAGCGUAUACAAAGUCGAGUCGGUUUAAGGAUACGUUCGUUGGGUAGGGGAGCGUUCUGUAAGCCUGCGAAGGUGGCCUGUGAGGGUUGCUGGAGGUAUCAGAAGUGCGAAUGCUGACAUAAGUAACGAUAAAGCGGGUGAAAAGCCCGCUCGCCGGAAGACCAAGGGUUCCUGUCCAACGUUAAUCGGGGCAGGGUGAGUCGACCCCUAAGGCGAGGCCGAAAGGCGUAGUCGAUGGGAAACGGGUUAAUAUUCCCGUACUUGGUGUUACUGCGAAGGGGGGACGGAGAAGGCUAUGUUGGCCGGGCGACGGUUGUCCCGGUUUAAGCGUGUAGGUGUGUGUUCCAGGUAAAUCCGGUUCACUUUAACACUGAGGCGUGAUGACGAGGCACUACGGUGCUGAAGCAACAAAUGCCCUGCUUCCAGGAAAAGCCUCUAAGCAUCAGGUAACAUCAAAUCGUACCCCAAACCGACACAGGUGGUCAGGUAGAGAAUACCAAGGCGCUUGAGAGAACUCGGGUGAAGGAACUAGGCAAAAUGGUGCCGUAACUUCGGGAGAAGGCACGCUGACACGUAGGUGAAGUGAUUUACUCAUGGAGCUGAAGUCAGUCGAAGAUACCAGCUGGCUGCAACUGUUUAUUAAAAACACAGCACUGUGCAAACACGAAAGUGGACGUAUACGGUGUGACGCCUGCCCGGUGCCGGAAGGUUAAUUGAUGGGGUCAGCGCAAGCGAAGCUCCUGAUCGAAGCCCCGGUAAACGGCGGCCGUAACUAUAACGGUCCUAAGGUAGCGAAAUUCCUUGUCGGGUAAGUUCCGACCUGCACGAAUGGCGUAAUGAUGGCCAGGCUGUCUCCACCCGAGACUCAGUGAAAUUGAACUCGCUGUGAAGAUGCAGUGUACCCGCGGCAAGACGGAAAGACCCCGUGAACCUUUACUAUAGCUUGACACUGAACAUUGAGCCUUGAUGUGUAGGAUAGGUGGGAGGCUUUGAAGUGUGGACGCCAGUCUGCAUGGAGCCGACCUUGAAAUACCACCCUUUAAUGUUUGAUGUUCUAACGUGGACCCGUGAUCCGGGUUGCGGACAGUGUCUGGUGGGUAGUUUGACUGGGGCGGUCUCCUCCUAAAGAGUAACGGAGGAGCACGAAGGUUGGCUAAUCCUGGUCGGACAUCAGGAGGUUAGUGCAAUGGCAUAAGCCAGCUUGACUGCGAGCGUGACGGCGCGAGCAGGUGCGAAAGCAGGUCAUAGUGAUCCGGUGGUUCUGAAUGGAAGGGCCAUCGCUCAACGGAUAAAAGGUACUCCGGGGAUGACAGGCUGAUACCGCCCAAGAGUUCAUAUCGACGGCGGUGUUUGGCACCUCGAUGUCGGCUCAUCACAUCCUGGGGCUGAAGUAGGUCCCAAGGGUAUGGCUGUUCGCCAUUUAAAGUGGUACGCGAGCUGGGUUUAGAACGUCGUGAGACAGUUCGGUCCCUAUCUGCCGUGGGCGCUGGAGAACUGAGGGGGGCUGCUCCUAGUACGAGAGGACCGGAGUGGACGCAUCACUGGUGUUCGGGUUGUCAUGCCAAUGGCACUGCCCGGUAGCUAAAUGCGGAAGAGAUAAGUGCUGAAAGCAUCUAAGCACGAAACUUGCCCCGAGAUGAGUUCUCCCUGAGACUUAGAGUCUCCUGAAGGAACGUUGAAGACGACGACGUUGAUAGGCCGGGUGUGUAAGCGCAGCGAUGCGUUGAGCUAACCGGUACUAAUGAACCGUGAGGCUUAACCUUACAACGCCGAAG
rnacentral:rRNA from 2 species